rnacentral:lncRNA from 1 species
CAAAGUUAAAAUAUAUAUUAGUAUACAUUUAUUUCUUCGAUAUUGACAUUUUAUAUGCUGUUGAUUUCAACAGUAUGAAAUCAGCAGCAUACAAAAUUUAUUAAAUAUCUUUCAAUAUUCAAGAAAUCUUUAUUUUAACUUUGGAGGAAUGGGCACUUUAACUAAUUUAAAUUGGCUUAUGGUUUAUAUAUUCAAGAAUUUUAAUAACAGAUGAAAAAUCUUGUCACAAUUGUGAGAGAAUAGUUGUUGGCUUCUUUUGCUCUUUAAAGUUGAAGGGUGACAUUUAUUAAAGAGAGAUCUAUUUUCAUAUCAAUUUACUCUCUGCUUACUUGGGAAGAAAAAAGGUCAUUUUUUAUAAAGAAAAGUCAACAAUGUGUCAAUCUUAUUAUAAGCAAGGCAACACAGUAUUUACUGUGAUCAUGUAUAUAUUUAUUACAUUUUAAAAUCUUGUUAGAAUUGACAAUGAAUAGUUAUGUAGAACACACGAUUCUGAAGAUUAUUUUUUAUCAGUAUUAUAUUAUAAUAGAAAUCCAUUUUAGACUGCUGUGGAUAUCUAGUCAUUGUUUGAAGGAUACUCAUUUUGCAUAGUUAGUGUUAUAGUAUGCACAUUACACUGUUUAUAAUGUUUGUUUUUAGUUAUUUUAAAUAUUUUGUAGUAUAGAGAUACAACAACUACUGUUGUUGAGGGAAUGCUUUUGGGUGAACAGUUUUUUUUUCAAUAUCUAUAGACCAAUUUCCAUUCAUGUACAAAAAAAAAUAAAAAGAACAUUUUCGUGAGUGAGAGAAUGUAAAAAAAACAUAAUGAUACAAUAGUUUUUGUAUUUUAAUCAGUUAUAAAAGCUUAGAUAUCUUGAGUACAAAUUUUCCCUCAAAAGGACACAGUUUAUGAAAUCCAUAAUUUUGUAUUGAUAAAACAGGAAUGUUUAGCCCUAAGAUAUAUGACAGAAAAGAUGUAGGAUUACUUUUUUUGAUAAAUUUCAAUUUAAAUUAAAAUAAUUCAACAUCUACAGCUAUUUUGAUGAAUUAUAUUCUCAUUCACACUCUUUUUGUCUAAUGUUAAAAAAAAUAUUCCAUUUAGACAAUUUAAUAGUUAAUUCAGUAAAAAAAAUAUUAAAUGGUCCAAAAGAUCUCAUGUUUAUGCACCGUUGACCAAUGCAAGAACUUUUUAUGUCAUAGGAGAGAGGGCAUUAAAUUUACCCUUGUCCAUCAGUUCGUAGGUCCCAAAAUUAAUUUCCAUUUUCUUACUUUAGUUUGUCUCUCAACCAAAAAUAUUGUUAUGAAACUUAAACACAAAACACAGAUUUAAGUUUGAAUUUUUGUGGCGUCACUUUUACCAUUCUAGAGUUAUGCCCCUUUAGAAAUUGUAAAAUUACUGCAAAACUUUGUUAUCAUUGUCAUAGUUCUAUAAAUCAAGUCCAAUGAAUUAACAAAACUAGUAUUUAUGGAAAUUGGUCUAUUUUGUUCAGGUUAUGGACAUUUUUGAAAGGAUAUGAAAGGGCAAAAGGGAAAUUUUAUACUGAAGUUUAAUAUCUAAUUACAGGUUUUGGAAUGAUUAAUUGAUUUGAAUGGCAAUCCAUAAAUAUUUUCAUAAAUAUUUGAGUGAAAGUUUUGAAGUUAUUUUGUUACUAUUCUACUGGUGCCAAAUCAUCAUAAUGUGUACAAUUUGUUAUAAAUUUUAUUUGAUGGUAAAUCAUUCUAUAAUAAACA